CACAUCAUGAUUUGCUUUAUCCAAUUGGGUGGUACGCGUCUCUUUCAUCCCAAUUUCACUAAAACUCUAUUAUCUUUUCUACUAUAAAUACCAUAUCAAAAGCCUCAUCAUUCACUACUAAAAAAAAAUGAACACAAUUUAAAGCAGAAAGAAAGAAAGAAAAACCCUGUGAGACUGAGAAGAGAGGGAGAGAGAAUAAAGAAGGAGAGAGAGAAAGAGAAAAGACGGAUAAAAAAACGAGAGAGAGAGAGAGAGAGAGAGAAAAAGGGAAAAAGGAAAGAAGGAAGAGAAAAGAAAAAUUCUCGAAGCAUUCAAGAUCCGUUCGCAAUAAUUUUUAAUCCGAAAUAGCUCAAGUACACAAAGAAUUUUGGAAAAUGCAUUCAAGCACUUUUUUUUUUGUAUAUAUUUCAAUAACGAGAUAAGAUACAUAUGUACAAGUUGUUCUCAUUUCUAUAUGCUUUUAUAUGCAAUUAAAUAUGCAUGGAUUGCUAGUGGACCUUCGAGUUCUAGAAAAAGAGAUAUGAAAUUCCUACUGGAAUUUAAUAGGAUCUAAGAUGAGUGUGUCGUUUGAUCAUUGACAUACUCCAUAAGAGCGGAGUGGUAUGAAAUGUAGAUUUUAUUGUUAUAUAUCUGUAUAUGGAAAUUGCACGUAUCUUACUAGAUAUUUUUAAAUACUCAUCCUUACUUUAAUUUUUCAGAUUUGUGCGGCUCGAUUGGAAUGGUGUGGAAUGGUGAUGCGGACGACCAAGACCAAAAAUAUUCAUGAAGUGUUCUAUCUUUUAAUUUAAUUAGUUUGAUUUGUUCUGGAAGAAUAAAAAUGUUAUUGAAUUAGUUAGUUGAGUAUGUUUAUUUUAAAGAUAUGAUUAUCAUGUUUUAAGUUAAAUUUGUAAAGGGUUCAGUUAUUUGUUUAUUAAAGAAUUUUAUUUAUAAAGUUCCACACUUAAAAUAAAGAAAAGUGAGUUUUUCGUAACGUUUCGG
rnacentral:lncRNA from 1 species